AUACGUAGGUGGCAAGCGUUGUCCGGAAUUAUUGGGCGUAAAGCGCAUGUAGGCGGUUUGGUAAGUCGGUCGUGAAAAUGCGGUGCUUAACGCCGUAUGGCGAUUGAAACUGCUGAACUUGAGUGCAGGAGAGGAAAGGGGAACUCCCAGUGUAGCGGUGAAAUGCGUAGAUAUUGGGAAGAACACCGGUGGCGAAGGCGCCUUUCUGGACUGUGUCUGACGCUCAGAUGCGAAAGCCAGGGUAGCGAACGGGAUUAGAUCCCCCGGUAGUCCUGGCCGUAAACGAUGGGUACUAGGUGUGGGAGGUAUCGACUCCUUCCGUGCCGGAGUUAACGCAAUAAGUACCCCGCCUGGGGAGUACGGCCGCAAGGCUUAAACUCAAAGGAAUUGACGGGG
rnacentral:rRNA from 1 species